AAUAAACGAAUUUCUGAGUUUUUUUAUAGAAUUUUUAACUCUUUGUCUUAUUUAAAAUUUUUUAUGAUUAAUAUUUUUAUUGUUACUACAUGAUAAAACAUGAAUAAUACUUUAUAUAUGAUUAAUUUUUUUUAUUUCUUAAUAAAUUUUUAAAUAAGACGGAUGGUCAAACGCUAAAUCUAGAAAACCCAG
rnacentral:pre_miRNA from 1 species